GUGAAUCAUCGAAUUUUUGAACGCAAAUUGCACUCUCUGCGGAGAGUAUGCCUGUUUGAGGGUCAGCCUAAAAAAAAUCGACAUAGUCCCUGUUUCGCUGUGACAUUGGUCGGAAGUUGGGUCAGCUUAAACCGAUGGGUUGUAAGCGGCGUAAAAUUUUCAUUACGAUUGCACGAACUAUUCUAAUAUUUACGUC
rnacentral:misc_RNA from 1 species